GACGAACGCUGGCGGCGUGCUUAACACAUGCAAGUCGAACGGAAAGGCCCUGCUUUUGUGGGGUGCUCGAGUGGCGAACGGGUGAGUAACACGUGAGUAACCUGCCCUUGACUUUGGGAUAACUUCAGGAAACUGGGGCUAAUACCGGAUAGGAGCUCCUGCUGCAUGGUGGGGGUUGGAAAGUUUCGGCGGUUGGGGAUGGACUCGCGGCUUAUCAGCUUGUUGGUGGGGUAGUGGCUUACCAAGGCUUUGACGGGUAGCCGGCCUGAGAGGGUGACCGGCCACAUUGGGACUGAGAUACGGCCCAGACUCCUACGGGAGGCAGCAGUGGGGAAUAUUGCACAAUGGGCUGAAGCCGGAUGCAGCAACGCCGCGUGCGGGAUGACGGCCUUCGGGUUGUAAACCGCUUUCGCCUGUGACGAAGCGUGAGUGACGGUAAUGGGUAAAGAAGCACCGGCUAACUACGUG
rnacentral:rRNA from 1 species